rnacentral:rRNA from 1 species
GACGAACGCUGGCGGCGUGCUUAACACAUGCAAGUCGAACGAAGUGGCGCACGGGUGAGUAACGCGUAAUCAACCUGCCCUUCAGAGGGGGACAACAGUUGUAAACGACUGCUAAUACCGCAUACUGAUGGAGUGGAUUGCGUCUGAUUAGCUAGUUGGAGGGGUAACGGCCCACCAAGGCGAUGAUCAGGAGCCGGAGUGGUAGGAUGAACAGCGACAUUGGGACUGGAACACGGACCAGACUCAAACGGGAAGCAGCAGGGGGGGUUCUUACGAAAUGGACGUAAGUCUGACGGAGCAACGCAGCGGGAGUGAUGACGGCGUACGGGUUGUAAAGCUCAGUUAAUCGGGACGAGGUACCAGAAUAGAAAGCCACGGCUAACUACGUGCCAGCAGCCGCGGUAAUAC